CAUUUGUCAUCAAGGGGCAGGCUGCGCAGGAUGCAAGGUUUGUACAAUCUGGCCUCAGCUGCAGCCCCAAAGGUGGAGAGCAAGAUAGAGGCAGCCACACUUGGACCUGAAGGCUAUGCUCUGUCCACUGACCUGCUAGGUCCUGGUACUGAGCUCCUAAAACCCCUUGGAAUUUCCUGAGUGGAGGAGGUAUUGUGAGCAAAGGGAUGCGGAAGCUAGCUAAUAUUCGUCAUAAAGACCCUUAGACCGCAGGCUUUGGAGAGCUUCCAGAUCAGGGAGAGCUCAAAACCCUGGCUGAGGUCAGGUGAGCGUUUCAGUGUGCCAGCAAACCAGGAACAAUGAGAAACAAGCAAAGGCUUGCACCAGAGCCAUGGGAAACUGGAACAGGAGUGUCGUGAGGAAGAAGGCAACCUCUGCUCACCUCCACCCUGGGCUCCAGGAAAGAUUUCCAAACUGGAGUCACCAGACCUCACUUCCAAGAGAAGCCAGCGCUUUAGACUUUAGUAUAAAAUCUCUCCGUUUUAGAAACUGCAGUUCUUCAAAACCUUGAAGAUGAGCAUCCUCCAAGCUGACAACUAUCCCAUCGCGCUAGGGAAUUCUUUACUUGGGUGUUAACAUUUACUAAUUGUUGAGAUACUGAUUUCCAUCCCUCCGUGCGCUUGUCCAGGGGUCUUGCAAGUUAACUCCUCAUGUUGGGAAGCCUGCUGCUCUUCAAAUGGCCUCUCCAGGCACAGAACCAGAGCUCCUGGGGAAGCAAGCAGAGUAAAUGGCUGCAAGUUUCUCUGGGUGUGAUGGUUUUCUUUGACCUCAUGUCAGGGUCAGGAGGUCAAGGAAAGACAAUAUGUCACAGCCUCAGCAAUCUGGGAAAGAAGGAAGGGGAAGAACUGGGACCCUCAUGGAUCCAACUCCCCAGCCCCCCUCUUUCAAUGUGGGGUCAAGUUUCCAAGAAAAGCUACACAGUGGUGUCAUCCUAGCUGGUCUUUGCCCUCCCAAUAUAUUUGCUUUACGUAAUUUGCCGAACAUUCAUGAAUAUUAAUAUGAAUAAGACA